rnacentral:misc_RNA from 1 species
GAUGAAGAACGUAGCGAAAUGCGAUAAGUAAUGUGAAUUGCAGAAUUCAGUGAAUCAUCGAAUCUUUGAACGCACAUUGCGCCCGCCAGUAUUCUGGCGGGCAUGCCUGUUCGAGCGUCAUUACAACCCUCAGGCCUCCGGGCCUGGCGUUGGGGAUCGGCGGAGCCCCCCGUGGGCACACGCCGUCCCCCAAAUACAGUGGCGGUCCCGCCGCAGCUUCCCCUGCGCAGUAGUUAUCAACUCGCACUGGAGCGCGGCGCGGCCACGCCGUAAAACCCCCGACUUUUAGAAAGUUGACCUCGGAUCAGGUAGGAAUACCCGCUGAACUUAAGCAUAUCAAUAAGCGGAGGA